AGGUAUACUUGUCAGGAUAUACAGAAAUUAGCCCCUCUCUUGGGAUUCUUCUAAUGUGCUUAUGUUUUCCCAGGCAUGACACCCCGUGAUGGAAACCAAAACUACCCUUCAAGAGAUAAUGACCUUCCAGAUGCAGAGCUCCAGCUGGCCCAGACCAACCACCCAGACCAGUUUGAGCUCAACCCUCAACUCACAUCCUUGCAGAUGGACCACGGAGUGACUGACAGUUAUCUUUACCUCAUUGUAAUGCUAAAAUCUCUGCUCAAGGAGGAGCGGAAGCCUCAUUUACAUAACAGACAAUGUAUGUAUAAGCUUGUUUCCUUAAGGUGCAUGAGUGACUUUAUGCCAGCCUCUCCCUACAUACAAUGACAAGGCUCCCCUUUCUAAAUAUUCAUCCUUACCCUAAAUAAAAGGA